GACGAACGCUGGCGGCGUGCUUAACACAUGCAAGUCGAACGAUGACGACCGAGCUUGCUCGGUCUGAUUAGUGGCGAACGGGUGAGUAACACGUGAGCAACCUGCCCUUCACUCUGGGAUAACCUCGGGAAAUCGGGGCUAAUACCGGAUAUGAGCUCCUGUCGCAUGGCGGGUGUUGGAAAGUUUUUCGGUGAAGGAUGGGCUCGCGGCCUAUCAGUUUGUUGGUGAGGUAGUGGCUCACCAAGGCGAUGACGGGUAGCCGGCCUGAGAGGGCGACCGGCCACACUGGGACUGAGACACGGCCCAGACUCCUACGGGAGGCAGCAGUGGGGAAUAUUGCACAAUGGGCGAAAGCCUGAUGCAGCGACGCCGCGUGAGGGAUGACGGCCUUCGGGUUGUAAACCUCUUUCAGCAGGGAAGAAGCGAAAGUGACGGCACCUGCAGAAGAAGCGCCGGCUAACUACGUG
rnacentral:rRNA from 1 species